GACAUAGAUCUUUUGGAACAUGUCCAGAGGAAGGCCACAAAAAUGCUCUCAGGGCUGGAACACCUCUCCUAUGAGGACAGGCUGAGAGAGCUGGGGCUGUUCAGCCUGGAAAAGAGAAGGCUCCAGGGAGACAUGAGGGCAGCCUUUUAGUAUCUGAAGGGGAGCUGUAAGAAAGAAGGGGGCAGACUCCAUAGCAGAUCCUGUUGCAGUAGGACAAGGGGAAAUGCUUUCAAACUAAAAAAGAGAAGAUUUAUGUUGGUGUAACAGAACUGUUAUGUCAUAGCCUGAUCUGAUGACUGAGCACCUGGUGAAGGAGGUGCAAGCAAUUCAGCUGUGCUUCCCACAUGAUCUUCCUGGGCUCAUUUAAGGCUAGCUUCUGAAAGGAGAACAUCUCCUAUAUGAAGGCUGCUUACUGAUAAGGAGUGUUCUAUAGCUGGAAGUCCUAUCACUAGCUGGAUGGCCAAGCAUGCCUGUCUGAACCGCUGGACAAACCAGAGGAGUCCCUGACAGAGCUUUGUCUUUAAAUAGCAAAUUGAAUUAUGUGUAAAUAUAAGAAAAAGAUGUAAUGCCCAUAUCAUGAGAACAAUUUAUCAUAGAAUGUUUUUUUCAUUAUACCUUUUCUGACAUUCUUCUGACAUCGUACAGUGGGAACUGUUAAGGCAUUCAUGCCAUUGCUCAUUAAAAAAUAA